AUUGAACGCUGGCGGCAUGCUUUACACAUGCAAGUCGAGCGGCAGCGCGGGGGCAACCCUGGCGGCGAGCGGCGAACGGGUGAGUAAUGCAUCGGAACGUAUCCUCGAGUGGGGGAUAACCCAGCGAAAGUUGGGCUAAUACCGCAUGAGCUCUGAGGAGGAAAGCGGGGGACCUGCGAGGGCCUCGCGCUGGAGGAGCGGCCGAUGUCCGAUUAGCUAGUUGGUGGGGUAAAGGCUUACCAAGGCGACGAUCGGUAGCUGGUCUGAGAGGAUGAUCAGCCACACUGGGACUGAGACACGGCCCAGACUCCUACGGGAGGCAGCAGUGGGGAAUUUUGGACAAUGGGGGCAACCCUGGUCCAGCCAUGCCGCGUGAGUGAAGAAGGCCUUCGGGUUGUAAAGCUCUUUCGGACGGAACGAAAUGGGCGGGACUAAUACUCCUGUCUGAUGACGGUACCGGAAGAAGAAGCACCGGCUAACUACGUG
rnacentral:rRNA from 1 species